rnacentral:rRNA from 1 species
GGGUUGUGAGGUUAAGCGACUAAGCGUACACGGUGGAUGCCCUGGCAGUCAGAGGCGAUGAAGGGCGUGCUAAUCUGCGAUAAGCGCCGGUAAGGUGAUAUGAACCGUUAUAACCGGCGAUACCCGAAUGGGGAAACCCAGUGUGACUCGUCACACUAUCAUUAACUGAAUCCAUAGGUUAAUGAGGCGAACCGGGGGAACUGAAACAUCUAAGUACCCCGAGGAAAAGAAAUCAACCGAGAUUCCCCCAGUAGCGGCGAGCGAACGGGGAGGAGCCCAGAGCCUGAAUCAGCAUGUGUGUUAGUGGAAGCGUCUGGAAAGGCGCGCGAUACAGGGUGACAGCCCCGUACACAAAAGCGCAUGUGCUGUGAGCUCGAUGAGUAGGGCGGGACACGUGGUAUCCUGUCUGAAUAUGGGGGGACCAUCCUCCAAGGCUAAAUACUCCUGACUGACCGAUAGUGAACCAGUACCGUGAGGGAAAGGCGAAAAGAACCCCGGCGAGGGGAGUGAAAAAGAACCUGAAACCGUGUACGUACAAGCAGUGGGAGCACAGGUUUACCUGUGUGACUGCGUACCUUUUGUAUAAUGGGUCAGCGACUUAUAUUCUGUAGCAAGGUUAACCGCAUAGGGGAGCCGGAGGGAAACCGAGUCUUAAUUGGGCGUUAAGUUGCAGGGUAUAGACCCGAAACCCGGUGAUCUAGCCAUGGGCAGGUUGAAGGUUGGGUAACACUAACUGGAGGACCGAACCGACUAAUGUUGAAAAAUUAGCGGAUGACCUGUGGCUGGGGGUGAAAGGCCAAUCAAACCGGGAGAUAGCUGGUUCUCCCCGAAAGCUAUUUAGGUAGCGCCUCGUGAAUUCAUCUCCGGGGGUAGAGCACUGUUUCGGCUAGGGGGCCAUCCCGGCUUACCAACCCGAUGCAAACUGCGAAUACCGGAGAAUGUUAUCACGGGAGACACACGGCGGGUGCUAACGUCCGUCGUGAAGAGGGAAACAACCCAGACCGCCAGCUAAGGUCCCAAAGUCAUGGUUAAGUGGGAAACGAUGUGGGAAGGCCCAGACAGCCAGGAUGUUGGCUUAGAAGCAGCCAUCAUUUAAAGAAAGCGUAAUAGCUCACUGGUCGAGUCGGCCUGCGCGGAAGAUGUAACGGGGCUAAACCAUGCACCGAAGCUGCGGCAGCGACGCUUAUGCGUUGUUGGGUAGGGGAGCGUUCUGUAAGCCUGUGAAGGUGGCCUGUGAGGGUUGCUGGAGGUAUCAGAAGUGCGAAUGCUGACAUAAGUAACGAUAAAGCGGGUGAAAAGCCCGCUCGCCGGAAGACCAAGGGUUCCUGUCCAACGUUAAUCGGGGCAGGGUGAGUCGACCCCUAAGGCGAGGCCGAAAGGCGUAGUCGAUGGGAAACGGGUUAAUAUUCCCGUACUUGGUGUUACUGCGAAGGGGGGACGGAGAAGGCUAUGUUGGCCGGGCGACGGUUGUCCCGGUUUAAGCGUGUAGGCUGGUUUUCCAGGCAAAUCCGGAAAAUCAAGGCUGAGGCGUGAUGACGAGGCACUACGGUGCUGAAGCAACAAAUGCCCUGCUUCCAGGAAAAGCCUCUAAGCAUCAGGUAACAUCAAAUCGUACCCCAAACCGACACAGGUGGUCAGGUAGAGAAUACCAAGGCGCUUGAGAGAACUCGGGUGAAGGAACUAGGCAAAAUGGUGCCGUAACUUCGGGAGAAGGCACGCUGACACGUAGGUGAAGUGAUUUACUCAUGGAGCUGAAGUCAGUCGAAGAUACCAGCUGGCUGCAACUGUUUAUUAAAAACACAGCACUGUGCAAACACGAAAGUGGACGUAUACGGUGUGACGCCUGCCCGGUGCCGGAAGGUUAAUUGAUGGGGUCAGCGCAAGCGAAGCUCCUGAUCGAAGCCCCGGUAAACGGCGGCCGUAACUAUAACGGUCCUAAGGUAGCGAAAUUCCUUGUCGGGUAAGUUCCGACCUGCACGAAUGGCGUAAUGAUGGCCAGGCUGUCUCCACCCGAGACUCAGUGAAAUUGAACUCGCUGUGAAGAUGCAGUGUACCCGCGGCAAGACGGAAAGACCCCGUGAACCUUUACUAUAGCUUGACACUGAACAUUGAGCCUUGAUGUGUAGGAUAGGUGGGAGGCUUUGAAGUGUGGACGCCAGUCUGCAUGGAGCCGACCUUGAAAUACCACCCUUUAAUGUUUGAUGUUCUAACGUGGACCCGUAAUCCGGGUUGCGGACAGUGUCUGGUGGGUAGUUUGACUGGGGCGGUCUCCUCCUAAAGAGUAACGGAGGAGCACGAAGGUUGGCUAAUCCUGGUCGGACAUCAGGAGGUUAGUGCAAUGGCAUAAGCCAGCUUGACUGCGAGCGUGACGGCGCGAGCAGGUGCGAAAGCAGGUCAUAGUGAUCCGGUGGUUCUGAAUGGAAGGGCCAUCGCUCAACGGAUAAAAGGUACUCCGGGGAUAACAGGCUGAUACCGCCCAAGAGUUCAUAUCGACGGCGGUGUUUGGCACCUCGAUGUCGGCUCAUCACAUCCUGGGGCUGAAGUAGGUCCCAAGGGUAUGGCUGUUCGCCAUUUAAAGUGGUACGCGAGCUGGGUUUAGAACGUCGUGAGACAGUUCGGUCCCUAUCUGCCGUGGGCGCUGGAGAACUGAGGGGGGCUGCUCCUAGUACGAGAGGACCGGAGUGGACGCAUCACUGGUGUUCGGGUUGUCAUGCCAAUGGCACUGCCCGGUAGCUAAAUGCGGAAGAGAUAAGUGCUGAAAGCAUCUAAGCACGAAACUUGCCCCGAGAUGAGUUCUCCCUGAGACUUAGAGUCUCCUGAAGGAACGUUGAAGACGACGACGUUGAUAGGCCGGGUGUGUAAGCGCAGCGAUGCGUUGAGCUAACCGGUACUAAUGAACCGUGAGGCUUAACCUUACAACGCCGAAG